UACGUAGGCAGCGAGCGUUGUUCGGAGUUACUGGGCGUAAAGGGUGUGUAGGCGGUUCUUUAAGUUUGGUGUGAAAUCUCCCGGCUCAACCGGGAGGGUGCGCCGAAUACUGAGGGACUAGAGUACGGGAGAGGAAAGUGGAAUUCCAGGUGUAGCGGUGAAAUGCGUAGAGAUGUGGAGGAACACCAGUGGCGAAGGCGACUCUCUGGGACGGUACUGACGCUGAGACGCGAAAGCGUGGGGAGUGAACAGG
rnacentral:rRNA from 1 species